rnacentral:rRNA from 1 species
UACUUCGGUAAUGACGUUAGGAAAGCGAGCGGCGGAUGGGUGAGUAACACGUGGGGAACCUGCCCCAUAGUCUGGGAUACCACUUGGAAACAGGUGCUAAUACCGGAUAAGAAAGCAGAUCGCAUGAUCAGCUUUUAAAAGGCGGCGUAAGCUGUCGCUAUGGGAUGGCCCCGCGGUGCAUUAGCUAGUUGGUAAGGUAAAGGCUUACCAAGGCGAUGAUGCAUAGCCGAGUUGAGAGACUGAUCGGCCACAUUGGGACUGAGACACGGCCCAAACUCCUACGGGAGGCAGCAGUAGGGAAUCUUCCACAAUGGACGCAAGUCUGAUGGAGCAACGCCGCGUGAGUGAAGAAGGUUUUCGGAUCGUAAAGCUCUGUUGUUGGUGAAGAAGGAUAGAGGUAGUAACUGGCCUUUAUUUGACGGUAAUCAACCAGAAAGUCACGGCUAACUACGUGCCAGCAGCCGCGGUAAUACGUAGGUGGCAAGCGUUGUCCGGAUUUAUUGGGCGUAAAGCGAGCGCAGGCGGAAGAAUAAGUCUGAUGUGAAAGCCCUCGGCUUAACCGAGGAACUGCAUCGGAAACUGUUUUUCUUGAGUGCAGAAGAGGAGAGUGGAACUCCAUGUGUAGCGGUGGAAUGCGUAGAUAUAUGGAAGAACACCAGUGGC